UUAUUAAACUAAAAAAGUAAGGAAAAUGUAAUGAUUUUUCUUAUUUGAUUUCUAUUUCAAUUUGAUAUAGUCGAAGAAAAAAUUAAUGUAAGAAUAACUAAUGUUUUUUUUAAUUUUUAAAAGUAUCAAAUUUUAAUAUUAUUACAAUAACUAAUUUUCUCACGACAAUAAGUUAACACAUCCACCUUCAAACUAAAUCAAUUGAAAGUAAAAUGUAACGUGAUAAUAUUAUAAAAAGUUAUAUUUUGAAGUAAUAUAAAUAGUAUAAAUAAUGUCAUAAAUAAUAAUUAGUAUAUAUUAUGUAAUAACAAAUGAUGUUUUAUAAUAUAUGUUGGUUUCAUUUUAGCUUUGUACUUAAACCAAAAUAUGUGUCUAACAUUAUUUUCCUUGAGUUUUCUAUGAUGAACUGAGGAACACACCAUUGGAGUAAGAAUAUUAUACUCAAACUCCUAAUAUAAACUUCCUAGAUGCUUCUCCAAGGCAUUUAUGCUUUUAAAGUUGUUCAUGAAUCCACAACUCUUUACGGUGUAGAUUAAUGUAACUUAAGUAUGCACCCUUGGAUAAGCUUCUCAGACAUUGCGACUUUGUAAAAUCAGUUCAUACACACAUCUUUAAUCUAAGGGCUGCAUCAAUUAUUUCUCUUUGUCAUAUAUCAUCAACCGCAAAUACUCUUCAUCAUCUUAAUAUUUAUUUGUACUGAUCAUCAUAGCCACUAAUCUCAUUAAAAAAUUCCGCUUGCAAGGUAUAAUUUGGUGUUUUCUAAGUCCGACCAACACACCAACAUUUACCAACCUUUCUUUGCACAGCACAACACGAGAUGAAAAAAAAAACCCGAGAAAAUGUGAUAACUAGGGGUUCCUUAAGCGCUUCAGGUCUUUUGAAACAUGGAUCAACCUUUCUUCCCUUUUAUGUGUGUUUUCAUGUAUGCAUUUCCAAAUCGCACAGAUCUCUUUCUCUAAGGAUUGACUGUCAUGUUGCCACUCUUUCGUUUGUGAUCUGAUUGUCCCUCUAUCAAAUAUCCUAUGAAUAAAUCAUGACAUAACCUAUCACAGUAACACAUAUAAUACAUAGUUUUAUUCUGAUCUAUAGUUGCAUAACAAAGGCAUGAUAUUACGUAUAUUGGUCCACUUAAUCCAAUAUAGUCAAAUUUGAUCAAUCAAACAUACAUAGUUGGAUUUGAAUAUUGGUCUUACUCUUAAUACAUUAAAAUAGAGAAAAUAUGUAAGAAAACAUUUGACUACUGAUCGUAUACUUUGUCAAUAACAAUGUACAAUAAAUCAUAUUUGUUUCCAAUAAACGAAUACUUAUUUUAAAAUUCAAAUUUCAUACACAACAUUCACUUGAUUAAUUAACAUGUUACAUAAUAAAAAUAAUUUAUAAUUUAAACUAUCAAAUUUCAAAUCUAAAAACAACAAAUGAGAUCUAAAAACAACAAAUUAAAAAUAAAACAAAUUGUAAAGUUUAGAAAUACCAAAUCUUGCUCAAUUAUUGCUCAAUUCUUGUUUUUUUAGUUAUUCUUUUCUUCAAUCUUCUUCUCUUACUCUCUCUUCUCUUCUUUUCUUUUUCAAUCCUCUCAUUCAAAACAUUGGCUUUUCUAUCCAUGAUUUGAUAGAACCUUACAUGCUUCAAUACCUCUCCUCCAACUAGGUAUGUGUAGCUUUUCUCUUCCACAAGUAUGGUUGCUUUCACAUACAUGUCUUGUUUGACAUUCUUGAAGAUAAAACAAGAAUCAACCACCAUCUUAUUCUCUUCACAUUUCCAAUGACCUCCAAAGAGUCCACCUUAGCAUAUCUAUCCAUCUAAUCGCAUUGAGCAUUCGAUCUUCAAGUGAAUCCAUGUAGAAUUUCCCCAUCACACAAUCAAUGACAAGGUUAAAUAGAUGUUCAUCACUGGAGUAGAGAGUAUUCAAAUAUUCAUCUUCCUUUUUUUUAUUUUCCUUCCACCACUUUCCCUCAUCCUCCUUCAUAAAAUAUGCCAUCAACGUUUUCACUUUAUUUAUAAGCAAAAUAUAAGCAAAAUUACAAAAUAUACCAUCAAUGUUUUCACUUUAUUUAUUGAUCUCCUAUAAAUUUAUUUGAUCCAAAUUGUGUUAUCCUUUUUGUCACUAUUAUUUUGGUCAUUGGAGCAUUCAGUAAAUAACUGAAUUACACGUAUUUAUUUAUAUAUGUAUAUAUUCCCCCAUGUGCUAAAUCAUUACUUGUAUGUAGUUGAACUAGUUAACUAAUUGAUAUAGGCUGAACUCACAUAUGAAGAUAGAUCUUCCACUACUUUUCCUAUGUUGUUUUAGCUCGAAACUAAGACUAUUCAAUCUUUGAAUCAUUGUUUUAUCUAUUAUAUUUGCGGUGUUACAAGAAAAAUAUAUAUUAUAUUUGUUCUAAUAUCCUUAUAGAGUCUCUAAUAAAAUUAAUAAAGUCUAAUUGGUAAAUAUGUUUGAUCUUACAGCAAUUUCUAAGGUCCAAAGCUCAAGUUUGUAAGCGCAUCAUAUCAAAUUCAGAUGAAUGUCCAUAAGUUGGAAACCUCAAAACUGAUUUGAGAUUAUUAAUGCAUUAAACACAUGUAUAACUAUUGUUUAUAAUACCUUGUUGAUCUUAUAACAUUCAUCAUCUAAACUAAUCAACAGUCAUAACUUACACUGAAUAAAUUUAAUUAUAAAUACUAGCUAUAUGUUUUAAAUAUUUGGAUUUAUCAUCUUUGAAUUAUAGAGAGAACAUGGACUUAUAAAUAUAAAACCAAACCAUUCAAAGUGACAAACUAAAAGCAAAUACUAAAAGAAAAAUUUAAUGAAAAUAAUUUUGUUACGUGAGACGUGGACCAACCAAUAAAAAUAUUAAUUGGCUCACUGUUCUUUUUAAAAAAAAAUUCUUGAGAGUAUAACUAAAUUAAUUUGAUUACAUAGAAGUCACUUAUAUAUAUAAGAAAAACCUUCCCUACAAUAAUAAAUUAUUGAAGAUAACUUAGGAAUCAAGAUGUGUAUCUUGCUUCAUAAGUUAUUAUAGACUCUUCUUAUUAUGAAAUAUAGCAUGUGAAAAUCUUUGAAGUCAAAUCAAAGAAUAUUAUAUAUGCUAUCAAUCACGAAAAAAUUAGGCUGAUUUAAAUGUAUAUCAUCUAUACCAUACUAAAAGUUGCAUAUCCUCAAUGCUCAAGCUGUCCACGUCAGAUUUUAUAUUCAGACCAAUCAAAAGAUUUCAAAUUUCCAUGUCAUUUCAUCCUUCGUUCGAUACAUCUUACAACCGGGCCAUUCAUGUGGGCUUUGAAUUGGACCAUUUCAAGCCUAUCUCUCAUCGCAAAUCGUUUCUGACUCUUCUCCUUCACUUUCAUUGUUUCGUCGUUUCAACAUUAUGCAAUUCGCCGUUAUCAAUCCACUCUUAAAACAUUCAAUUAUGUUUCUAUUCAUUUCUUCGUGAUUUCAUUUCACCUUCUUUGUUUCUCUUCCUAUAUAAAUUUAUUCAUCUAAUCUUACAUCCAACCAAAAUCAACAACCCCAUAAAAGAAUAUAAAAGCUUUGGCUAUGGGAUCUUUUAAAGCCACCGAAAGUUUCCCUUUAUUCUAUAUUUUGCAAUUUUUUAUUGGAUCAAGAUGCUGAUGGGUUUUGAAAUCGUUCACAGACUCGAUCUCUGUUUGUUGGUAGUUCUAGAACAUUUGGAGCUGUUGAAGUUCUUGCUGUGGUGAUAUGAAGGCUCCUCCUCCAACACUUCUUCAUCCCACCAUAUCCGCCCUAUACCAAACACAAUUUCUUGAAAUAUAAAUGUAUAGAUUAUUUUAGAAUUUAGAGAUAACCUUCUGGGUUUUUGUUUCCAUAAUUUGGUUUUAGAUCAAUUCUUCAAAGCUGCACCUUUGGGCUAUAUAGUUUACAAAUCAUGGUUCUUCUUUUAUUUUUUUUCAGCAUCUCCGAACAUAAUAUGAUGUCUUGGUAUCGGUUUCGUCCCAAAAGGUUCGAGAUUUUUUGAUUACCAAUUAUUAUAAAUAGCUGUAAAGAUCAUGACUCAUGAGACAUGUUAACUAUGAACCAGUAAUAAUAAUAUUAGAUAACAAAAUCUUGCUUUAGUUAGGAAUCUAUGAACAAGUUUUGUCUUUUUCCAUCUAUAUUGGAGUUCCCAUGAUACAAAGAUAUUUUUAUGCUUGGUUAAUUCUUAUUUUUUUAAUCUGAAUGUUUUCAUGCAUUAGCUGCAAGUUGUAGCAUAGGUUUCUUUACACCAGAUGGCGUUUAGAGUAGUAUGUCAGCUAAAAAAAUUGGUAGUGAGCUUUACACCAGUUCCUAGGUGUAACCUAAAUCAAUAUCUUCUUUGCAUAAUUCAUUAAGUCUUUUAAAGUGGCAGAAAUAUAAAGAAAAGUUGAUGAUGUGGGUCCCAGAUUCAACUUGCAUUCUCCUGCCGGUGUAGGAUUUAUUGAUGAAGGGCAGUUCAAGAGGCCUUAGAGAAAAUCACAAUAUAGCAUAUGCAGCUAAGCGGGGCUAAGGGAGGUUGCAAACAAAAUUUGGGUAUUGUGCUGAGCAAUUGGGCGUUAAAAAUAUGGUCAGUGUGCUUUUAUACUUUUGGUCUGUAUUUUGUAUGGAUGACAGUUCUAAUGCUGCUUGAGUUGAAGGUUGAUGAGUUGAAGAUGCAAAGGAGGCGCCAGAGGAGAAGGCAUUGAACUUUGUGUGUGCAAUGUUAGAAAAUCCUUAUGCUGUUCUUCAGGGUUCACGACAUAUGGUACGACUCUGCAAACAAAUUCAUAUUAUAGACUCUUAAGCUGGAUUUAGUACUACAAGAACAACUGUCCUCACAUCAAGGCUGAUAUACUUUUUAUUUUUCUUUGUCAGGCUGCAGUUGAUGGAGAAUGCAGUAGUUUCAACAAGUCCAACAUGGUGAUGGAGUAAUAGACUUUUUUCCAUCAGUUUUUGGAGUUAGUGGUAACAUGAAAAGCCAUUUAGCAAGUUUGAGUGUGUGCAAUGGCUUCUCAUUCAGAAGAUAGAAGAGAAGAAGAGAAGAAAUGUCUUCAAGUCACCUUCAAUCUGCCUGAAAAUUGCAUGAAUAGGCUAAUUAGUGAACGCAGUGAACACUAUCCAAGUGUUGGUGCAGUAAGUAUGCUCAACUCUGGAAUGAGCAAUACAGGAUGAUGCACUUCAUAAUUUUUUUUGCCAUCAAUGGAAAAAGAAGCAAGAUCCUUGCUAACUAGCAGAGCAAAGAGUCGGCUGCUUUCAGAGUAUGGACAGGUUUUGUAGGACAAGGUGUCUGCAGGUCCAUAUCAAAAGAAAGAAAUGUACAUUAGCUCCUUAACUCAGAUCAGGAAGCUGCACUACUUCAUGUGUAUUCAGUUUCAGUCAGAAUAUUAGUGAUCAUUGACGAGCUCGACACUACUAUUUUACCGUGACCCGUCAGCUAUAUUAAUUUAAGAAUAUCAUUAAUACUUGGAUUUAUUGAUUCUUCAAUAUGAAAACAGUCAACUUUCAUCUACUUCUAAUUUGUUGGUAGUGCCGUAUGGUCUGUAUUUAAUUUGUGUAACUUAUUUUGAUUUAGAAUUGUUAAAGUUUUAUAAUGAUAACUCCUAGACUUUAUCUACGAUAUUUUCUUUUCCUUCCAUUUUCAAAUAUUAGUUUUCCUACUCUCACAAAAAACCUACUAAAUUUAUUAUAACAUGAUUUUUUAAUUCUAAAAAUUCCCAAAAUUCAAUCCUUAGAAAUAAAAAAUAGAUCAGUUCAUCUGAUUAGAAUACUAAAAACAAUUGAGUACAAAACAAAAAGUGAAAUAAUAAAGACUAGGAUAACAAAAUAUAUCUAAAUUAAAAAAAAAUAAGACACAUAAAUGUAUACAUAAAUUCUAUAAAAUUAAAUUAUUAAGUGGACAGUUUCAAUCAAUUAAAAUAAUACAUAUAUUAUAUUCUAAUAAUAAACUGUUAUUCAUUUUUAUAAAAAGAUUAUUCAAAUUAAAAAAAUUAAAAAUUACAUGAAAUAAGCAAGGAAAAAAUAAUAAAAGUAUAAAAUUAAUAUUAUUAAAAAUAAAUUAAAUAAUAAAACCAAUGGGUAGUGUGGACAAAAUCUUAUAUAUACUAGGGGCUGAUUUAGUUUCUCUGGUAUAUGCCACAUAGGCAAACACUAACCAAUAAAAUCAUAAAAAUAAUAUUUUAUGUAUAUAUUAAUAAGAAAGAUUGUACUAUGUACACAAAACAUUCUCUCUAAUUAGGUAAAUAUCCAAAAUUUCAUAUGAUGGUACCUUGAUCGCUAAACACCAAAUUUUACUUAGACCAUCUUCAAUGUAUUAUCCUAUUUUCACAUAUAAAAUAGAGAAACUCUAUAAUAGAUUUGAGAUAUGCUCCAAUGUAUUUCUCUAUAAUAGCAAUCUCUAAAUAUAAAGUAAAAAAUAAAGGAAUACUAUUUUUUCCUCUAUAAAUAGAGGAAAAUAUAGAGAUCUCUAUUAUAAAGAAAAACAUAUAUGUGGGUUGGAGAAAUUUCACUUCUAAAUGCUAUUAUAUAGGUGAAAAUACCAAUGUGUUGGAGAUGCUCUUAUAGGUAGAUUGGUAAUAUCCAUGUUUUUGUAUUAUGAACCUAUUGACUAUUAAUAAAAGAUUAAAGCGAUUAUGUCAAAUUAAUAUGUUCGAUUUGUUUUCUAAAUCUAAAUAUCAAUCAAUACAAAUAAAUAAAAUUAUCUUAUAUCUAGAUAAAUAUGUGUUUAGUAAAAACAAUUUUAAUAAGUAACGUGCAAAUAAAAAAAACAUUUUUUCAACAAUGUGUAAGCAUCAAAAAAUCACAAAAUGAUGGAGAUCAAAUAAUCUAGAAAUCUAUGAAAAUAUAUUGAAAAUAAUUUUAGUAAUCUAUAAAAAUAUCUGAAUAAAUCACAUUUUAUAUUAACUGAGAGAUAAAAUACAUAAAAAGAUAAUAAAAAAAUGAUUCUUGAACUCAAAUGCAGAGUUUACUGUAUGUAUUGUACUCCAUCCGUUUCAUAAAGAAUGCCACUUUGUCAUUUUUCACAUAGAUUAAAAAUAUAAUUGAAAUGCAUUUAAGUUCUUAUUAGUUAUACCUAUUCAGCCAAUAGUAUUUUAGAUAAACAGAAUUAUUUAUAAAACUAAUGCAUUUGUAACUAAUAUUAAGCUGAAAUUAUAUUGAAAUUCUAAAAUGACAUUUUUCUUAAAUAAAAAAAAGGUUAAAAUAACACUUAAUAUGAAACAGAUGGAGUAUUAACUUCUUCUUUCUUUUUUUCCUUAGAAUAUUGUAUUAACUUUCUAAGGUAAUACGUAGUUUUACACUUCCAAAUUUAAUGUUAUAACCAAAAUCUACAUCUUUGUAAUCUAAUUUCUCACUUUAAUUAUAUAGUUACAUUUGAUUUAUCCUAAAUUAACAACUAUGAUAUUGUUUAUACGGAUAAACAAACAGUUUCUUCCAAACAAAUAUAUUGAACAACAAAGGAACAAUCCUUAAAUAUAUAAAUAUCAGAAAAAUAUUUUCAAUUAACCAUGUACGAUAUUGUUUUUUGAUAAAUAAUGUAAAUAACAUAUGAAAAUUUAUACUUGGUUCAACAUUAUUAACAAAUUCAUUUUCAAGAACUUCAUAAACAUUAUUCAAAACGUUAAGAAUUUUUAUUUUAAAGUAGAACUAGAUUUUGACCCGCGCGUCCGCGCGGAUGUAUGUUGUCCAUAAUUCAACUGUUUUGGUUUGUUGUAAAAUUAUUGAUAUUUUUUCAUAGGUUAGUUAGUUCUGACAUUGGUAUAUGGUGUACAUUUUGUUUUGUGUUUAUUUUUAGAUUAUAUUUUUUUGCAUUUAAAUUGGUAAGAAAAAAAUUACAGUGUAAAAUAUUAGAAGGUUUAGUGUAGAUUUUGGCUGUUUAAAAAAAUUAUAGAAAAUUGUUUUUGAUUACUAACUCAAUAUUUAAAAUUAAUAUUUUUUUAGUUCAAAAAAAUCUCAGGAAAACAAUAUUGACAGCAAGAAUAUAAAUUGGUAAAGUAACCAAACCCACAUUUUUUAGAUUAGAUAGCUCUAGCAAUUAUAAUAUUUAACCAAAAUUAUAGUGGACUUUAAACAGUAAUCGAAGCCCAUUUACACUUUUUUCUGGGAAAAAAAUAGAAACACGUAACCUUUUUACGUCUUUUUGAUCCGCACACCCGUGAUCUUUAAACAGCAAUCAAAGCCCAUUAUGUUGAGCCGUUUUAUAAUUUAUAUGAAUAAAAAUUUGUAUUAUGUAUUUUUUUGCAAGAGGCUUGGAUUUUGUUUCCCUUCAAAAAAAAUGAUGUUAUUAGUUUAGUUUGUUAAAGCAGUAACCUGUUAAAUUUUAACAAACAUGUAGAAAAAAUUAUUUACCCAUUAAUCUGCUAAAACCAUCUCAAAGCUGUCUCCAAAAGCUGUGUUCUGCCUCUAAGAAUGUAAACACUUAACUUGAACUCGCCACUUAUUUUUGAAAGGUCUGAGUUUUGUGACAGAAUGAAAAGUAGUCAUAGACAUUUUUGGAGUAUUUGCAGAGACUGAUGUGUGUUUCACGUGAUUGGGAUAGCUGUAUAUAUAGAUAGUUUGUAAAGUGUAGGGUAUUCACCAUAUAAUGAUUUCAGAUUUAGGUAGCCAUGAUUUUUUAGCAUUGAAAGCGAAUAUACUAUUCGAUUUGAUUCCAAAACUGAUUUUGUUGUUAUAAAGUUAACGACAUUACAGGAAUUUAAGUAUUUAAAAAGUAGAUAUUUCAUGUGAUAUGCAAGAUAAUAACGAAUUUAGGUAUUUAAUGGUUAAAUAUUUGACGUGAUGAUCAAGAUUAUACUUAAAAAAAGAAUAUUCUAUUAGUUGAUUGAUAUCUUAAUUAUUAUGGAGAAUGAUUAAAUAUAGAUAUACUUUUAACAAUAAAAAUAUUGUUGAAAUAUUUAGAAAGAUGUCGUUUGAUUUUGAAUUAAAUAAUUCAAACGAUAAUAUUAUUAUCUUUGAUUGGAUAUUGAAUGAUAGAAUAUAGAUUUAUUUUGAUAUAACUUAUGAUCAAAAUAUUGUCACUUUGCAGGCGUUAUCAACUUGGCAAUGACAUGGACGUACAACUAUAUAAUAUGGUGGUUUUGCUUCUCCAGACCAAGCUUAACAAAGGUAUUAUCAAGGUGGAAUUUUGGUUCUAAUAAAAUGAUGAAAAGCUAAGUAGAAGUGUCUCUUUAGACUCAUUUGAUUAAGCAGAGGAAGAGGAAGAUGAACUAAUGUCACAUCUUUGUUAUAGUAUAAUUGUACGAUUCCAGGAAAUAAUUGUAUGAUAUUGAAUAUAAUUAACAAAGAUACGUGGGGUUGACAAUUGGUUUGACAUUUUGUGGUUAAGUAAUCACGAACACAAUUCUAUUGAUUUAUAAGAAUAAGGAAAAACGUUGAGUUUAAUGCCAAUGGCAUUGAGUGGUAAAUAUUGAGGAAAAUUAAGGGUUAUUUCUUUUUUGUACUUCUGUUUUAAUAGUUUAGAUACAAAAAAAAUAUUAGUAGUACAUCAACGACGCGACACAUAAGAAGAAAAUAACAUAAAAAUUACAUUAUCAUCUUUGUGAUGUUAGUCGUGUCACUCAGUUUUGGUUUCAUAUAUUGUAAAACUAAUUUAUAAAAACAAAAGCUUUUUACUGAAAAAAAUCAAAAACUAUAAAGUCAUAUUAUUAGUUUACAGCAGAAAAACGUAAACAAUUAUACAAAUAUCCAGUAAAAUUGGUAUAAGUAUAAUUAUCAAUAUGUUUACAAAAUAAAAGCAAAUUCAAACACAAAAUUUCACCUAAUUUUAAAAUAAAAAAUUAAAAAAUACAUAAGUGUUCUCCAUCCACUGAUACCACAAAUGCCCCUCCAUUCAGUUACUAAAAGGUUUUUUUUUUAAACAAAUGUCUUUGAGUUCUCUGUGUAGAUACUAUAUGCUGUGCACAAGAAAAGCCAUAAAAAAGUGAACUUAUUAGGGAAACCCAUAAAAAAUAAAUGAUGUAGAACAUUAUUAUGAUCUUGAUUUUUUUAUCUGGUUUCUCCCCAUGAAAUAAAAGUAAUUACAUAAUUAUCAUGAUAGUUAUAUCUUUUAUUGUUGUAUGAAUACAACUGAUUUUCUUUCCACAAUUAAUAUAUUUGUCGGAUGUUGAGCAUUACAUCCAUAUAGAUUAUCUAAAAUCAUACUCCAUCUUUCUGUUUCAUUUUAUAUGCGUUUAAGAUUAUCUCACACAUAUUAAAAAAUAACUAAUUUUAUGUUAAUUAUAUCCCUAAUUAAGAUAUUAUUUUGUUUGUAUUUGAUAAUUAAUAAAGAAAGAGAACAUGAAUAAACUGAAAAAUGAUAAACAUCUACAUUUAAAAUAUAAAACGACACUUAUAAUGACAUAUACUUUUAAGUUUAAAAAAUAAUUAAUAUAAAACAAAGAGAGUAUAAUGAAAAGUCAGAUAAAAAAAUACAACUUAUAAAACCACAAAUAAAAA